UACGAAUGGAGCGAGCGUUGUUCGGAAUCACUGGGCGUAAAGCGUGCGCAGGCGGUUAUGAAAGUCAGAUGUGAAAGCCCAGGGCUUAACCCUGGAAUUGCAUUUGAAACUCCAUGACUAGAGUACUGGAGGGGUUGGCGGGAUUUCGAGUGUAGCAGUGAAAUGCGUAGAUAUUCGAAGGAACACCGAUGGCGUAGGCAGCCAACUGGACAGUAACUGACGCUCAUGCACGAAAGCGUGGGGAUCAAACAGG
rnacentral:rRNA from 1 species